rnacentral:rRNA from 1 species
GACGAACGCUGGCGGCGUGCUUAACACGUGCAAGUCGAACGGUGAAGCGCCUUCCUUUUUGGUGGGUGUGGAGGAGUGGCGAACGGGUGAGUAACACGUGAGUAACCUGCCCCCUUCUUCUGGAUAACCGCAUGAAAGUGUGGCUAAUACGGGAUAUUCUGGGUCUGUCGCAUGAUGGGUCUGGGAAAGAUAUUGUUUCGGUGGGGGAUGGGCUCGCGGCCUAUCAGCUUGUUGGUGGGGUGACGGCCUACCAAGGCGGUGACGGGUAGCCGGCCUGGGAGGGUGAGCGACCCCACUGGUGCUGCGACGCGGCCCAGACUCCUGCGGGAGGCAGCAGGGGGGAAUAUUGCACAGUGGGCGGCAGCCUGCUGCAGCGACGCCGCGUGAGGGAUGGAGGCCUUCGGGUUGUGAACCUCUUUCGCCAGUGAAGCAGGCCUGCCUCGUUUGUGGGUGGGUUGACGGUAGCUGGAUAAGAAGCGCCGGCUAACUACGUG